rnacentral:rRNA from 1 species
GACGAACGCUGGCGGCGUGCCUAAUACAUGCAAGUCGAGCGGACGGAUGGGAGCUUGCUCCCAGCCCGUCAGCGGCGGACGGGUGAGUAACACGUGGGCAACCUGCCUGUAAGACUGGGAUAACUCCGGGAAACCGGGGCUAAUACCGGAUAACUCUUUCCCUCACAUGAGGGAAAGCUGAAAGAUGGCAUCUCGCUAUCACUUACAGAUGGGCCCGCGGCGCAUUAGCUAGUUGGUGAGGUAACGGCUUACCAAGGCGACGAUGCGUAGCCGACCUGAGAGGGUGAUCGGCCACACUGGGACUGAGACACGGCCCAGACUCCUACGGGAGGCAGCAGUAGGGAAUCUUCCGCAAUGGACGAAAGUCUGACGGAGCAACGCCGCGUGAGUGAUGAAGGUGUUCGGAUCGUAAAACUCUGUUGUCAGGGAAGAACAAGUACCGGAGUAACUGCCGGUACCUUGACGGUACCUGACCAGAAAGCCACGGCUAACUACGUG